AUCUACCUGACAAGUCCCAAAUAGAACGAAACUCGAGUCUUGGAU
rnacentral:hammerhead_ribozyme from 1 species